UCGAGAUGUGGCGAGCACGCGCCCAUGUGUAACCGAAGAAAGUUUCUUUAAGGCACGAGGCGCCUACAUAUACCCGCUGGGACGGCCUAUGCCCGACGCUUCUUCGCCUUCACUUCACUUCCGUGGAAAGGGUAGCAAACCGCCCGCAGAACUCGUCAAGCUCUCUGCCUUUCCGCCUCUCUCCUCGUCGAGAAGGCUACUCCGACGCUCGGCAGCAGCGCAGCUCGACGGAAGAGCUCGCAGAGGCCCAGCGGGCGUCACGUUGCCCGAGCGACGCCGUCCCCCCCGGCGUCACCCGAGUCGAGUGAGCGCAGGGGCCGCCGAGAAACGGCCUUUCUGCAGACCUGUCUCUGCGCUCUUUGUUUCGCGGCUUGCUGCUCCGACAGCGGUGACGAAGCUACCGUGGAGUAUGCGCUGAACAGGCCCUGCGGAUGCUGUUCUGGACGUGGCGAUGGCACAGCGGCAGCUGAACUUUUCAGUUCGGUCGGUGCCGUCGAG